AAUGAACGCUGGCGGCAUGCCUAACACAUGCAAGUCGAACGGCAGCACAGUACAAGGGUUCUGUUACGGGUCGCGCGUGGGGGACGCGCGAGGAAUACCUGGGAACCAGCUGUGUCUUGCGGGCCGACGUAGGGGAACUUACCGCAAUACCUCAUACGAUCGACAGGGGGAAGCACAGGAUCUUCGGACCUAACACGUAUGACUUGGCCGGUGGCGGGUUAGCUAGUUGGGGGGGUAAAGGCCCACCAAGGCGACGAUCCGUAGCCGGUCUGAGGGGAUGAUCAGCCACACUGGAACUGGAACACGGCCCAGACUCCUACGGGAGGCAGCAGUGGGGAAUAUUGGACAAUGGGCGCAAGCCUGCUCCAGCCAUCCCGCGUGAGUGAAGAAGGCCUUCGGGUUGUAAAGCCCUUUUGUUGGGAAAGAAAAGCAGCAGGUUAAUACCCCGCUGUUCUGACGGUACCCAAAGAAUAAGCACCGGCUAACUUCGUG
rnacentral:rRNA from 1 species